rnacentral:tRNA from 1 species
GGAGGCGAGUUUCAGCUGGUGCUGGGCCCGGACUUCAAAUCCGGUGGGGGUCGGUAACGCCGGUCCCGGUGUGUUCGAUUCGCACACGCCUCCGCCA